rnacentral:rRNA from 1 species
AUUGAACGCUGGCGGCAUGCCUUACACAUGCAAGUCGAACGGUAACAGGUCUUCGGAUGCUGACGAGUGGCGAACGGGCGAGUAAUACAUCGGAACGUGCCUAGUAGUGGGGGAUAACUACUCGAAAGAGUGGCUAAUACCGCAUGAGAUCUACGGAUGAAAGCAGGGGAUCGCAAGACCUUGUGCUACUAGAGCGGCCGAUGGCAGAUUAGGUAGUUGGUGGGAUAAAAGCUUACCAAGCCGACGAUCUGUAGCUGGUCUGAGAGGAGGAUCAGCCACACUGGGAGUGGGCCACGGCCCAGAGUCCUCCGGGAGGCAGCAGUGGGGAAUGUUGGACAAUGGGCGCAAGCCUGAUCCAGCAAGGCCGCGGGCAGGAUGAAGGCCUUCGGGUUGUAAACUGCUUUUGUACGGAACGAAAAGCCCUGGGUUAAUACCCUGGGGUCAUGACGGUGCCGUAAGAAUAAGCACCGGCUAACUACGUGCCAGCCGCCGCCGUAACAC